GUGCUGAUUGGUGUGUUUACAAACCUUGAGCUAGAUACAGAGUGCCGAUUGGUGUAUUUACAAUCCCUGAGCUAGACAUAAAGGUUCUCCAAGUCCCCACCAGACUCAGGAGCACCCAGCUGGCUUCACCCGGUGGAUCCCACACCCGGGCCGCAGAACCAAUCCAGGAAGUUGCAAGAGCAACCUUGUGGGCCAAGUGAUGCCAAGAAGGAUCAGAACAAGGCGCAGUGGCCAGAGCUCCAGCAACCAUCUUGGACAAUGAAAAAACCUUCACGAUGAUAGCCAUGGCGAAACACAGUGGAGUAGGAGGAUAAAAGAGACUGAGAACCAGAUAACCACGGAGUUCCAUACCAGCUCUCCUGAUACCUUUCAUAAAAGAGUGAAAUGAACAUC